UUUCCGGUUGAUCCUGCCGGAGGUCACUGCUAUUGGAGUUCGAUUAAGCCAUGCGAGUCGAGAGGGUUAGACCCUCGGCGGACGGCUCAGUAACACGUGGGUAAUCUACCCUCAGGACAGGGAUAACCCCGGGAAACUGGGGAUAAUACCUGAUAGGUGGAGAGGUCUGGAAUGAUUCUUCGCUUAAAGCCCCGGCGCCUGAGGAUGAGCCUGCGCCUGAUUAGGUUGUUGGCGGUGUAAUGGACCACCAAGCCGAAGAUCAGUACGGGCAGUGAGAGCUGUAGCCCGGAGAUGGGGGCUGAGACACGGCCCCAGGCCCUACGGGGCGCAGCAGGCGCGAAAACUCCGCAAUGUUCGAAAGAACGACGGGGGAACUCCAAGUGCACUUGCGCAAGCAAGUGGUUUUUAGUAGUGUAAAUAGCUGUUAGAAUAAGAGCUGGGUAAGACCGGUGCCAGCCGCCGCGGUAACACCGGCAGCUCGAGUGGUGACCGCUUUUACUGGGCCUAGAGCGUUCGUAGCCGGUUCAGUAAGUCUUUGGGCAAAUCUUCUCGCUUAACGAAAAGAAUUCCGAAGAUACUGCUGGACUUGGGGCCGAGAGAGGUUAGAGGUACUCCUGGGGUAGGGGUGAAAUCCUAUAAUCCUGGGGGGACCGCCAGUGGCGAAGGCGUCUAACCAGAGCGGACCCGACGGUGAGGGACGAAAGCCAGGGGCGCGAACGGGAUUAGAUACCCCGGUAGUCCUGGCCGUAAACGCUGCAUGCUAGGUGUUGCAUGCUCUACGGGGGCAUGCAGUGCCGAAGAGAAGUUGAUAAGCGUGCCGCCUGGGAAGUAUUAUCGCAAGGUAGAAACUUAAAGGAAUUGGCGGGGGAGCACCACAAGGGGUGGAGUCUGCGGUUCAAUUGGAUUCAACGCCGGA
rnacentral:rRNA from 1 species